rnacentral:rRNA from 1 species
GAAGGCUAUGUUGGCCGGGCGACGGUUGUCCCGGUUUAAGCGUGUAGGCUGGUUUUCCAGGCAAAUCCGGAAAAUCAAGGCUGAGGCGUGAUGACGAGGCACUACGGUGCUGAAGCAACAAAUGCCCUGCUUCCAGGAAAAGCCUCUAAGCAUCAGGUAACAUCAAAUCGUACCCCAAACCGACACAGGUGGUCAGGUAGAGAAUACCAAGGCGCUUGAGAGAACUCGGGUGAAGGAACUAGGCAAAAUGGUGCCGUAACUUCGGGAGAAGGCACGCUGAUAUGUAGGUGAAGUCCCUUGCGGAUGGAGCUGAAAUCAGUCGAAGAUACCAGCUGGCUGCAACUGUUUAUUAAAAACACAGCACUGUGCAAACACGAAAGUGGACGUAUACGGUGUGACGCCUGCCCGGUGCCGGAAGGUUAAUUGAUGGGGUCAGCGCAAGCGAAGCUCUUGAUCGAAGCCCCGGUAAACGGCGGCCGUAACUAUAACGGUCCUAAGGUAGCGAAAUUCCUUGUCGGGUAAGUUCCGACCUGCACGAAUGGCGUAAUGAUGGCCAGGCUGUCUCCACCCGAGACUCAGUGAAAUUGAACUCGCUGUGAAGAUGCAGUGUACCCGCGGCAAGACGGAAAGACCCCGUGAACCUUUACUAUAGCUUGACACUGAACAUUGAGCCUUGAUGUGUAGGAUAGGUGGGAGGCUUUGAAGUGUGGACGCCAGUCUGCAUGGAGUCGACCUUGAAAUACCACCCUUUAAUGUUUGAUGUUCUAACGUGGACCCGUGAUCCGGGUUGCGGACAGUGUCUGGUGGGUAGUUUGACUGGGGCGGUCUCCUCCUAAAGAGUAACGGAGGAGCACGAAGGUUGGCUAAUCCUGGUCGGACAUCAGGAGGUUAGUGCAAUGGCAUAAGCCAGCUUGACUGCGAGCGUGACGGCGCGAGCAGGUGCGAAAGCAGGUCAUAGUGAUCCGGUGGUUCUGAAUGGAAGGGCCAUCGCUCAACGGAUAAAAGGUACUCCGGGGAUAACAGGCUGAUACCGCCCAAGAGUUCAUAUCGACGGCGGUGUUUGGCACCUCGAUGUCGGCUCAUCACAUCCUGGGGCUGAAGUAGGUCCCAAGGGUAUGGCUGUUCGCCAUUUAAAGUGGUACGCGAGCUGGGUUUAGAACGUCGUGAGACAGUUCGGUCCCUAUCUGCCGUGGGCGCUGGAGAACUGAGGGGGGCUGCUCCUAGUACGAGAGGACCGGAGUGGACGCAUCACUGGUGUUCGGGUUGUCAUGCCAAUGGCACUGCCCGGUAGCUAAAUGCGGAAGAGAUAAGUGCUGAAAGCAUCUAAGCACGAAACUUGCCCCGAGAUGAGUUCUCCCUGACCCUUUAAGGGUCCUGAAGGAACGUUGAAGACGACGACGUUGAUAGGCCGGGUGUGUAAGCGCAGCGAUGCGUUGAGCUAACCGGUACUAAUGAACCGUGAGGCUUAACCUUACAACGCCGAAG